rnacentral:tRNA from 1 species
GCCUGGGUGGCUCAGUCGGUUAAGCGUCUGACUUCAGCUCAGGUCACGAUCUCGCAGUUCGUGAGUUCAAGCCCCACAUCAGGCU